GCGCCCUGCGGAAUCCCUCCAGGAAUUACUCCCUGGUCCUCUCACAGUGGCUGUGGUCUCAGCCUGAGAUAAAAGGCCAGAAGCAGGAAGGUACACAUAUAGACUACAUUUCCCAGCCUCGCUUGCAGUUAAGUGAGGGUCGUGUGAUGGAGUUCUGGCCAAUGGAAGAUGAGAAACUUGAAGGAGUCAGUCCACAAUAAUUUCUGGAGCAUCUACUUUGUACUACCUGCUGUUCUAGGCACUGUGGUUUCACUGGUAACAAGGACAGAACUACUGUCCCCAAGGAGUUAUGUUCUAAUUGGUGGAUGGGAGGACACAGAUUAGGAACACAGAAACAAAUGAGACAGGGUCUUGCUCUGUCUCCCAAGCUGGAGUGUAGCAGCAUGAUCAUGGCUCACUGUGCAGCCUCAACCUCCUGGGCUCAAGUAAUCCUCCUGCCUCAGCCUCCCAAGUAGCUGGGACUAUAGGUAUGUACCACCACACCUGGCUAAUUUUUGUAUUUUCUAUAGAGACAGAGUUUCACCAUGUUGCCCAAGCUGGCCUC
ensembl:lncRNA novel transcript